rnacentral:sRNA from 1 species
UCCUUGGUGGCACAGUCGUUCAGGCCGGU